GGUGAACGCUGGCGGCGUGCUUAACACAUGCAAGUCGAACGGUAAGGCCCUUCGGGGUACACGAGUGGCGAACGGGUGAGUAACACGUGGGUGAUCUGCCCUGCACUUCGGGAUAAGCCUGGGAAACUGGGUCUAAUACCGGAUAGGACUCCUGGCUUCAUGGUUGGGGGUGGAAAGCUUUUGCGGUGUGGGAUGGGCCCGCGGCCUAUCAGCUUGUUGGUGGGGUAAUGGCCUACCAAGGCGACGACGGGUAGCCGGCCUGAGAGGGUGACCGGUCACACUGGGACUGAGGUACGGCCCAGACUCCGACGGGAGGCAGCAGUGGGGAAUAUUGCACAAUGGGCGCAAGCCUGAUGCAGCGACGCCGCGUGAGGGAUGACGGCCUUCGGGUUGUAAACCUCUUUCAGCUAUGACGAAGCGCAAGUGACGGUAGUAGCAGAAGAAGGACCGGCCAACUACGUGCCAGCCGCCGCAGUAA
rnacentral:rRNA from 1 species